rnacentral:tRNA from 1 species
GGAGAGGUGGCAGAGUGGUCGAUUGUACCUGACUCGAAAUCAGGCGAUGCCGUCCGGCAUCCGAGGGUUCGAAUCCCUCCCUCUCCGCCA